rnacentral:rRNA from 1 species
CUCUGUGACUCCUACGGGGAGGCAGCAGUGGGGAAUAUUGCACAAUGGGGGAAACCCUGAUGCAGCCAUGCCGCGUGUGUGAAGAAGGCCUUCGGGUGUAAAGCACUUUCAGUAGGGAGGAAGGUAGUGUAGUUAACACCUGCAUUAUUUGACGUUACCUACAGAAGAAGCACCGGCUAACUCCGUGCCAGCAGCCGCGGUAAUACGGAGGGUGCGAGCGUUAAUCGGAAUUACUGGGCGUAAAGCGCAUGCAGGCGGCCUGUUAAGUCAGAUGUGAAAGCCCGGGGCUUAACCUCGGAAUUGCAUUUGAAACUGGCAGGCUAGAGUCUUGUAGAGGGGGGUAGGAAUUUCAGGUGUAGCGGUGAAAUGCGUAGAGAUCUGAAGGAAUACCAGUGGCGAAGGCGGCCCCCUGGACAAAGACUGACGCUCAGAUGCGAAAGCGUGGGGAGCAAACAGGAUUAGAUACCCUGGUAG